CUACGGGGCGCUCCAGUGGGGAAUCUUAGACAAUGGGGGAAACCCUGAUCUAGCCAUGCCGCGUGAGCGACGACGGCCCUAGGGUUGUAAAGCUCUUUCAGCAGGGAAGAUAAUGACGGUACCUGCAGAAGAAGUCCCGGCUAACUCCGUGCCAGCAGCCGCGGUAAUACGGAGGGGACUAGCGUUGUUCGGAAUUACUGGGCGUAAAGCGCGCGUAGGCGGAUUGUUAAGUCGGGGGUGAAAUCCCGGGGCUCAACCCCGGAACUGCCCUCGAUACUGGCAGUCUUGAGUUCGAGAGAGGUGAGUGGAAUUCCGAGUGUAGAGGUGAAAUUCGUAGAUAUUCGGAGGAACACCAGUGGCGAAGGCGGCUCACUGGCUCGAUACUGACGCUGAGGUGCGAAAGCGUGGGGAGCAAACAGGAUUAGAUACCCCUGUAGUC
rnacentral:rRNA from 1 species